UGCGUAGGCGGACCUUUAAGUCAGUGGUGAAAGUUUGCGGCUCAACCGUAAAAUUGCCAUUGAAACUGAAGGUCUUGAGUGUAAAUAAGGUAGGCGGAAUGUGUUGUGUAGUGGUGAAAUGCUUAGAUAUAACACAGAACACCAAUUGCGAAGGCAGCUUACUGGGAUACAACUGACGCUGAGGCACGAAAGCGUGGGGAUCAAACAGGAUUAGAUACCCUGGUAGUCCACGCAGUAAACGAUGAAUACUAACUGUAUGCGAUAUACUGUAUGUGGUAAAGCGAAAGCGUUAAGUAUUCCACCUGGGGAGUACGUUCGCAAGAAUGAA
rnacentral:rRNA from 1 species